AUUGGCCCUCAAGAUGCGUAUGUGGUUUCUAUUUUUCUUCUUCUUGAUAGCUUCAGCGUCAGCCCUGUCUGGCCUCGGAGGUUUUUGCAAAUCGAAUAGUGGUUGUGAAACAAACACGUGCAACGACAUUGGAGUGUGUAAUGAUUAUGAUGGUUACAUAAAGAAAGACAAAAAAAGCUCAACUUCCAUGCUGACUGACAAAGCUGUCUACACCCCAAAAGUGUGAAUAAACUAGAGAAAAGUUUGAGAAAUAAACAAGUCCCAACAAAAGUA